rnacentral:rRNA from 1 species
UCCUACGGGCCGCAGCAGUGAGGAAUAUUGGUCAAAGGGCGAGAGCCUGAACCAGCCAAGUCGCGUGAAGGAUGACGGCCCUACGGGGUGUAAACUUCUUUUGGCAGGGAGCAAUUGAGUCCACGUGUGGGCUUAGCGAGAGUACCUGAAGAAAAAGCAUCGGCUAACUCCGUGCCAGCAGCCGCGGUAAUACGGAGGAUGCGAGCGUUAUCCGGAUUUAUUGGGUUUAAAGGGAGCGUAGGCGGAAGAUCAAGUCAGCGGUAAAAAUUCGGGGCUCAACCCCGUCGUGCCGGUGAAACUG